GGAGAACGUGAAGAACACCAAGUCGGAGGACUGAGAACACCAUGACGGAGGAGAACGGGAAUAAUGGAACGCACGUGGACCCAGCUACCGAGGCUAACUGACGUGGCACUGAUGUGGCGUGCCAAAUUUAAGAAUCACGGUGAACGGAGGAGAAGAUGAUGCUAAACUAGAAAUUCCAAAAAGGGGAAGGGUUCACGUGCGACUGGAGAUAGGGUGAUUCGUGAUCUUUGUUCAUGCAACUAGGCAACCUACAAUCACGAGAUAGGCAACUCUAUGCUCCCAAGUUUCAACAGGUCCUCAGCAUUGCAGAGAAGCUUGAGUUGGAGCACGAAGGCCAAGUAAGAACAAGAAGGAGGAGAGACCACAGUGCGAAGAAGCUUGAGCUUGGUUUAAUGUCAUUUCUUUGCUGUUUGUCCUUCAAGCAAUUUUGCACUCUACAAGGGCUAACGCCUUUAACAAAGGAAAGUUGGGGGGGGGGGGGAAGUAGAGGUACCAAAUUAAAAAUUGAAAGAAACUAUGGAUACCAGCAAAAUGGUUUUCCCAUUAAUUUACACC